UACGUAGGCGGAAAAUUAAGUCAGUAGUGAAAACCUGCAGCUUAACUGUAGAACUGUUAUUGAUACUGGUUUUCUUGAAUAUAGUUGAGGUAAGCGGAAUGUGUAAUGUAGCGGUGAAAUGCUUAGAUAUUACACAGAACACCGAUUGCGAAGGCAGCUUACUAAGCUAUGAUUGACGCUGAGGUACGAAAGCGUGGGGAGCGAACAGGAUUAGAUACCCUGGUAGUCC
rnacentral:rRNA from 1 species